UACGUAGGGGGCAAGCGUUGUCCGGAUUUAUUGGGCGUAAAGAGCGUGUAGGCGGCCAGACAGGUCCGUUGUGAAAACUCGAGGCUCAACCUCGAGAUGUCGAUGGAAACCGUCUGGCUAGAGUCCGGAAGAGGAGUGUGGAAUUCCGUGGUGUAGCGGUGAAAUGCGCAGAUAUCAGGAAGAACACCUAUGGCGAAGGCAGCACUCUGGGACGGUACUGACGGCUGAGACGCGAAAGCGUGGGGAGCGAACAGG
rnacentral:rRNA from 1 species